rnacentral:lncRNA from 1 species
AGAAAACAACUGUAUAGAAUAGAGCAGUGAUUUUUUUGUGUGUGCUUGUUUGUUUGCUUGUUUGUUUUUCCAGAGAAAAUAGUUGCUUUUGAUCCAGAGGUAUGUUGUUUUCCAACUUCUGCCGACUUCUUCCGUCAAGGAACACAUAAGAAUAAUCCUUGUUAUUUUUCGAUCAGUAUUUUUCACUUCAUUGUGAGGAACAAAAUCUGGCCUCAGGCUUCGAUGAGACUACUGGGAUUCUGGCCUCAGAAACAUUCAAUUUUGAGCAUAAAAAUUAUUAUUCAAGGGGUUUCAGCAGGACCAAAUGGAUUUGGGAGAAGAGGUGAGAAAAUUUUAGUUCUGAUUUCAAGAUGACAUAAUAGAAAGAGACACCUAUAUUCUGUAUACUGACAGUAUUGCAAGAACUUUCUCCCCUAAAGCAGAAUAUGAAGGAAAGCAUUAUCCACUCCAAGCUUCCAGAAGCAUCUUCUUGCACUGCUGUGGGAAUUUAUCCAUCCAUGUACUGUUCCUUUAGAAGGACAAGCCCUCCACGUUUUUGGAGAGGUAGUUUACAAUCACCUCUAUUAAGCAGGUAAAUUCCAUUUAUAUUUAUCAUGAGUCAAUAGAGUGGAAUAGCUUUUUUCAUUGCUUUGGUUUACCUUUUUACUUCGCUUGAUUUUAUUCUCCAGUUAUACUGUUUACUAAGGACCCUAGUUUUGUUACGUAUUCAUUCUUUUCUCUAGUAAAUUUAAUUCCAUUCAGUUUUAUAUUUUUCUAUUCUCAUGUUCUACCUGCUUGUAGAUACUUGGAUACCAAAAUACUUUGCCAUGGUAUCUUCAUGAACGGACAAAUUCUAAAAUCAGUUUUAUUCUAAUGAAUGUACUCUUCUACCAGCUCUGUGAGUGAUAACCAUGCCGUAAGUUUAGCUAUG